AGCGAACGCUGGCGGUAGGCCUAACACAUGCAAGUCGAACGGAAGCACAGUAAGAGCUUGCUCUUACGGGUGGCGAGUGGCGGACGGGCGAGGAAUACAUCGGACUCUACUCUUUCGUGGGGGAUAACGUAGGGAAACUUACGUUAAUACCGCAUACGACCUACGGGUGAAAGCAGGGGAUCUUCGGACCUUGCGCGAUUGACUGAGCCGAUGUCGGAUUAGCUAGUUGGCGGGGUAAAGGCCCACCAAGGCGACGAUCCGUAGCUGGUCUGAGAGGAUGAUCGGCCACACUGGAACUGAGACACGGUCCAGACUCCUACGGGAGGCAGCAGUGGGGAAUAUUGGACAAAGGGCGCAAGCCUGACCCAGCCAUACCGCGUGGGUGAAGAAGGCUUUCGGUUUGUAAAGCCCUGUUGUUGGGAAAGAAAAGCUGCAGGGUAAUACCCCGCGGUUGUGACGGUACCCAAAAAAUAAGCACCGGCUAACUUCGUG
rnacentral:rRNA from 1 species